rnacentral:rRNA from 1 species
AGAGUUUGAUUAUGGCUCAGGACGAACGCUGGCGGCGUGCCUAACACAUGCAAGUCGAGCGGAGACAGUGAGUAGCUUGCUAUGAGCUGUUUUAGCGGCGGACGGGUGAGUAACGCGUGAGCAACCUUUCCCAGACAGGGGAAUAACGACACCGAAAGGUGUACUAAUACCGCAUAAGACCACGGGAUCACAUGGUUCUGGGGUAAAAGAUUUAUCGGUUUGGGGUGGGCUCGCGUCCGAUUAGGUAGUUGGUGAGGUAACGGCCC